rnacentral:misc_RNA from 1 species
AUUAGAAUACUUAAUUAUAGGACUUUGUAUAUAAAUACCUUACAUCUCAUUCAAGAAAAUAUACAGAAAAUAUUCUCUUCAUGGUAUCAGAGCCUAGGUUCCCUAGCCUGAAAUUUUUUUUGAAAUAUAUAUAUUUUUUCUCUAGUUCUUCUCCUCCGACAAGUGCUGUCUUCUAGGAGAACUCAAUAGAGUUAUCACAGUGUCUCACCACCCAUCUUAGGAGAAGGCCCAGGUGCCGAUCAGCCACCCUCGGAAGUCCGGCGACCGAACUUGAAGCGCGUAGCCUUCACGCGCCAUUCUUAAGUUCUGAUCCCUAUUCCACGCGCCGGCGCGUGACCGCGUGUGUGGUAUUUUCCCGCAACAUCUAGCAGCUAGACCUCCUCCCCCGGCAUCGCCCCAACCUAGUGAUUCCAUUCCUAUAGGCUGUGUUAAGUUUUGAGGCUUCGAUCUUGGUGGGGCUUGAAGAUCCUCCUUUUCGGGUCACAGUUUCAUAAGUAUCUGUUAACAUCUGACAAUCUCUUGGUUUGUGGACUGUGGAUAGUUAAAGUGCAAUGGCUGAGGGUGAGACGAAGUCUAUAAUUUCUGAUGUAGUCCUGGUUAUGACUAAAAUCACUAAACACAAACUUAAUGGCUUGAAUUACUUGGAAUGGGACAAAACUGUUCAGAUUUAUUUGCAAAGUAUUGAUAAAGAUGAUCAUCUUACAAAUGAUCUACCGAAUGAUGAUACCAGACAAGCUUGGCUGAGGGAAUAUGCUCGUUUAUUCUUACAGCUUCAGAAUUGAAUUCACAGUGAGGUAGUGAGUCUUAUUAAUCACUAUGAGU